GACGGGGCCCGCACAAGCGGUGGAGCAUGUGGUUUAAUUCGAAGCAACGCGAAGAACCUUACCAGGUCUUGACAUCCCCUGACCAACCCGAGAGAUCGGGCGUUCCCCUUCGGGGGACAGGGUGACAGGUGGUGCAUGGUUGUCGUCAGCUCGUGUCGUGAGAUGUUGGGUUAAGCCCCGCAACGAGCGCAACCCUCGACCUUAGUUGCCAGCAUUCAGUUGGGCACUCUAAGGUGACUGCCGGCUAAAAGUCGGAGGAAGGUGGGGAUGACGUCAAAUCAUCAUGCCCCUUAUGACCUGGGCUACACACGUGCUACAAUGGGCGGUACAAAGGGUCGCGAACCCGCGAGGGGGAGCCAAUCCCAAAAAGCCGCUCUCAGUUCGGAUUGCAGGCUGAAACCCGCCUGCAUGAAGUUGGAGUUGCUAGUAAUCGCAGGUCAGCAUACUGCGGUGAACUACGUUCUCGGGCCUU
rnacentral:rRNA from 1 species